AACAACAACAACAACAACAGACCCAGUGUAUUCCCACCUAGUGGGGUCUGGGGGGGUAAGAUGUACGCAGUCCAUACCUCUACCUCUAAUGAAGUAGAAAGACUGUUUCCGAUAGACCCCCGGCUCAAGAUACGAGAUACCACACAAACACAUAGUAAAGCACAGAAGCAGAUUACAUAUCAUAAAUACGGCACCCAUAAGUAAUAUAAAAUAGAGAAAGCAAAGGAAAGCACACAGAUUCGUAAUAAAACAUGGAACACGGAAGACGGAAUCAUAACAGGAAUAAAACCCCCUCCAAGUAAUUCCCUACACUAGCGACCCAAACUGGCCCUAAUCCUCUGCCGAAAUUCGCGCCCUCCAGACCUUCCUAUCUAGGGUCAUGUCCUCGGUGAGCUGUAACUGUUCCAUGUCCCGCCUAAUCACCUCGCCCCAGUACUUCUUCGGCCUACCCCUACCCCGCCUAAAACCAUCCAACGCUAGCCUA
rnacentral:lncRNA from 1 species